CUGCCCCUUGGAAGUGGAAAUGGGAGCUGUGUCCUGCCCAUGCCCUGUGCAGAGCAGAGCAAGGUCUGUGCCUGGGCUUUACCAGCGACUGCUUUCCCCCGGGUGGAGCCUGCACCCCAGCCCAGGCUGCAGUACUGGUGGGGUGAUGUCUGAACUACUGGAGAUUAACGUCAAAAGAAAUAAGACAUGCCUACCAAGGAAUGGCUAAAUCCUUGCAGAAGCUAAUGGAGCAAUGAAGAUUACAGCAGCUGUAGAGUGGGAUUGAAGAACACCUUCUGCACUGUGAAAUUUAUGCAAAAAGCCUCUCCCUUCAGUAGGGUACUCCUAUUUACAGAGUCCCUAAUUAAAUAACUGAUUUUUUUUAAUAAAUUAAUUUGAUAGACAAAAACAUUUAAAAUACGGAAAAUCUGAGCUACGGCCACAAUUUCAUAGACAACCAUAUUCGCGUUUUGCCUCAAAUUUCUUUAAGAACUAUGCAAAAUUUGCUGUGAAAAAGCAAAUGCAUUUAACAUGUCUUGUGUCCAAUUGUUUUAUAAUAAAACCCAAUUUCCUAUCAAGAAACUGUUUUGAUGGGAAAUUUGCAAGCUGCCCAUGGUAUUUAGGAAUCCAGAGUCCUAUCUAGGUUUCUUGUGAACUAGUCUCCCAGGAUCUCUUACUGCAUUAUUAUUUUCCAGGGAACUCUUUUUCCUGAGUAACUGUCUUUCAAAGUAUUUUACUUCAAAUAUAUUAGUUCACAAUUUCUCAGAUGGAAUUACAUUUGUUUUGGCUUUUAUGGCAUAAAUCAAAUAUCCCUGAGAAAUAAAAAGUCAAGUCUUGCCAAGUUUAGCUAACAAAAUUUGGAUAGUGAUGUGCAUGUUUCAGAUUUACAACUAACAGUGGAGGUUGUUUUUAUGAGCUGUUUGGGAUUUUAUGUAAUUAAAUACUGGCAAACAAUAGACUAUGGAAGUAAAGGAUUUAUUUCACUUACAGACCUUCACUCAGAUUACUGGGUUGCUCACUUAAAGGAAUGUGUAUGGUACCUUGCUUCUACAAUAGCAUUUCCUCCUGUUAUCUCGUUGAAGGGUGAAAACUGGUGGAUUUCUUCGACAUCAGCUUGUGUAAUUACAGCUUCACUACGUGUGUAUUUAAUUUUGUAAUUAGCGACUCAAGGUUGUCAAGCAUAGGUGCCAAAGCUCAUUAAUCAGUUGCUGUCUCAGAAAAGCAAAGAAAACUUGGAAAUUAUUCCAGAAGGUGAAGUCACGUCUAUUGCCUAACGCACAGUGCCACUGCAAGAACAGAAUGGGUCUGGAUCAUCCAUCUCUUUCUAGUGCUUGAGUAACAGAGAGGUUUAUGGUGUCAGGAGGAAGCUCACCAUGAAUUUACUCUCAGGACGGAAUAUGUGAGAUCCAAGUUGCAAUUGGGGUUCCAUGCACACCAGGAAGAAUUAAUGAGAUGACCUCACGUGGUGGAGACAGAUCUGCAUCCUGUUCAUAAGCUGUGGCAAGACACACAAAGGCUAAAGUUUUCUUAUUUGUCCAAAGCAAUCUGUGGAAAAUGGGAUCAGAAAUCCCAAGUCCUGGUACAGUGAUUUUUCUGAAAAAUGUUCCACAAGACACAGCAUAAAGACUCUCUCUGAUGUCCCUCCACCCCUUUGCUCCCUGACCUGGUUGCGCUGAGACUCCAGGAAAGCUCUGACCAGAUAACCUUGAUUGACAAAACAUUUUACCAAGACAAGGGCAAGGUAAACUUCCCUGCACUAGUCUGCAGUGUCAUAAAUGUUUGCAGAAUUGACUGUUCCCUCCAGAGGCAGUCCCAUGCUUCACCGUCCCUGCUGCAUACAAAUGGAGUCACUGCACAGCACAACCAAGUGCAUAUGCUGUGGUGUGACCUUCUGUUUGGUGACAUCCAUCAGUGAAUUGCUCUGUGCUAGUGGCUGUCUGAACAUCAGCUGGUACAUGAAUUUCUCCUCUGAUUUCACUAAAACCCAAUCAAUAAGGGCACAUAGCUUUAGUGUUCUCAU